rnacentral:rRNA from 1 species
GAUGAACGCUAGCGGGAGGCUUAACACAUGCAAGUCGAGGGGCAGCAUUGGUACUUGUACCAGAUGGCGACCGGCGAACGGGUGCGUAACGCGUAUGCAACCUACCUUAUACAAAGGGAUAGCCCAUGGAAACGUGGAUUAAUACCUUAUAGUACUAUUUCUCUUCAUGGAUUAAUAGUUAAAACUUCGGUGGUAUAAGAUGGGCAUGCGUCUGAUUAGCUAGAUGGUAGGGUAACGGCCUACCAUGGCAACGAUCAGUAGGGGUUCUGAGAGGAUUAUCCCCCACACUGGUACUGAGACACGGACCAG